UCUGAGCUUCUUCUACAAGCUCACCGGUAAAAUGGAGGCAGAGGGCAACCCGGAGCUGUUCUAUCCCACGGCCCGGCCCAUGCUGCCGCCCCAGGAUUAUGACCUUGCUGCCGAGGUGGAAAAGCACGAUGUCCUGCUUAGUUAUCCGUAUCAGUCCAUCCGCCCCUUCAUCGCGAUGCUGAAAAAGGCCGCGCGGGAUCCGGAGGUCAUUUCCAUCAAGAUGACCCUUUACCGGAUGGCGCGGGAAUCCCAGAUCGUGCAGGCCCUGAUCGAAGCCGCCGAAAACGGCAAGGAAGUGGUGGCUCUGGUAGAGCUGCGUGCCCGCUUUGACGAGCAGAACAACAUCGACUGGUCCAAGCAGCUGGAAGAGGCUGGCUGUACCAUUCUCUAUGGCUUUGAUGAUUACAAGGUGCACUCCAAGCUGACCCUCAUCACAAAGAAGGGCCCGCAGGGAUACAGCUAUAUCACCCAGAUCGGCACCGGCAACUACAACGAAAAGACCAGCGAGCUCUAUACCGAUUAUUCGUUCAUCACGGCAGAUCUGGGCAUCGGUGAGGAAGCCUCCAACGUGUUCCAGAACCUUGCCGUGCAGAAACUGACGGAGACCACCGAGAAGAUGCUGGUGGCUCCUCUGCGCUUCAAGAGCGUGCUGCUGGACGAGAUGGACCGGGUCAUCAAUGCAGCCAAGCUGGGCCGCCCGGCAUCCAUGAUCCUGAAAAACAACUCCAUCUCGGAUCGGGAUAUCAUCCUGAAGCUUGAAGAAGCCAGCUGUGCGGGGGUCCGCAUCGAUAUGAUCGUGCGCGGUAUCUGCUGUGUCCGCGCCGAGGUGCCGGGCAAGACGGAAAAUCUGCACAUCCGCAGUCUGGUGGGGCGGUAUCUGGAACAUGGCCGCAUCUACAGCUUCUACGAUGGCGUGACCACCCGCAUCUAUAUCGCCUCCGGCGAUUUCCUCACCCGCAACACCGAGUGCCGCGUGGAGGUGGGUGUCCGGGUGGAGGACCCUGUCCUCAUCCAGAAGCUGAGCGAUAUCCUGCAGCUGCAGCUGCGGGAUAACGUCAAUGCCCGGGAGAUGCGGGCAGACGGCAGCUAUCAGAAGGUGAAAGCGGCCCCCGGUGAGCCCCUUGUCAACGGCCAGAUGGACAUGUACGAUCUGCUCCGGGAUGACUGGCUCGCCCGGGAUACCGCUUCUGCGGCAGAACCGGAGCAGCCCGAGCCAAAGGCACCGGAGCAGCCGUCUGAACCCGUAACGAGACCGGAGCCGGUUCAGGUGGCGGAGCAGCCCGCAGAACCAGCAAAACAGCCUGCCACGGUGAAAGCAGCACCUGCUCCGCACGCUGUUGAUCGCACGGAACGGCACGGCCACCCCAGCCUCUUCCAGCGGCUCCAUGACUGGCUCCGCCGGUAAAUACGGAACGAGCACCCUCUGGGAAAUCUCCCAGGGGGUGUUUUGGUUCUCAGUGAUCUUCCUUCUGCAUACACUUUCCAGAACGGAGGGCGAAAAGAUGCAGGCAAAACAUGGACGAGCAGGGAAACACAAGCGAUAUCAACUGGCGGCGGUGCUGGCUCUGACGGUGCUGCUGAUCAUUCUGCUGGCGGGCAGGGUGCUCCCAGUCUGUGCGGGCAAAAAUGUCCCGGUGGGAGCCAGCCUGAAACAGGCAAAGCCGGGGCAGACGCUCUGCUUCCCGCUGGAAACCACAGCAUGGCGGGUCUCUGACCCCUACGGCUGGCGAAAAGAUCCAUUUACCGGAAAAGACACCUUCCAUCAGGGUGUGGACCUUGCCUGCACAGAAGGAACGACGGUGCGGGCUGUUCUGGAUGGAGUGGUCACGAUGGCCCGCCGCAGUGCGACCUACGGCAACUAUCUGUGCAUUUCUCAUCCGGACGGGCAGGAAACGCUCUAUGCCCACAUGCAGUAUCUCUAUGUCCGGGCCGGGGAGCCGCGAUGGGACGAAAAGACCCCGUGAACCUUUACUACAGCUUAGCAUUGACCUUGGUCAUCCGAUGUGUAGGAUAGGCCGGAGGCUUUGAAGCGGCGUCGCCAGGCGUUGUGGAGCCAUCCUUGAAAUACGGCCCUUUGGCUGUCUGAGGUCUAACUCGCUAAUGCGAGGACACUGUUUGGUGGGUAGUUUGACUGGGGUGGUCGCCUCCAAAAGCGUAACGGAGGCUUCCAAAGGUGCCCUCGGGCCGAUUGGUAACCGGCCUUAUAGAGUGCAAUGGCAUAAGGGCGCUUGACUGGGAGGCAGACAUGCCGAGCAGGCAGGAAACUGGGGCAUAGUGAUCCGGCGGAUGUGUAUGGAAACUCCGUCGCUCAAAGGAUAAAAGGUACUCCGGGGAUAACAGGCUGAUCCCCCCCAAGAGCUCAUAUCGACGGGGUGGUUUGGCACCUCGAUGUCGGCUCGUCACAUCCUGGGGCUGGAGAAGGUCCCAAGGGUUGGGCUGUUCGCCCAUUAAAGUGGCACGCGAGCUGGGUUCAGAACGUCGUGAGACAGUUCGGUCUCUAUCUAUCGUGGGCGCAGGAGUUUUGAGUGGUGCCGUCACUAGUACGAGAGGACCGUGAUGGACAGACCUCCGGUUUGCCAGUUGUGCCGCCAGGCGCACCGCUGGGUAUCCGAGUCUGGUUAGGAUAAGCGCUGAAAGCAUCUAAGUGCGAAGCCAUCCGCAAGAUGAGAACUCCAUUGAGGGUCGUUGUAGACGACGACGUAGAUAGGCUGCAGGUGUAAAGACGGUGACGUCAAAGCCGAGCAGUACUAAUUGCCCGAGACUUUCUUCU
rnacentral:rRNA from 1 species